rnacentral:pre_miRNA from 1 species
UCUUUAGCUUAAUUAUAUUCUGUGUGAUAUUUGAGAUAUACUUAUGCUAAAA